UGGAGCUGGCAAGGAAGUGAAAGUCACUUCCAACCUUAUGUUACAGCCACCAGAAAAACAAACAGGGCAGACGAAGCCAACAAGCAUCAUUCUCAGUUCUUGGUUCUAACUCAACUCAUCCCCAAAAGAGAAAAAGAAGCAACCGAAAAGACUGCUCAUGACCAAUCCAGAAACCAGAUAAAUAUCAGAAUACCUUUUGGAAGAGUGAAGCUGAAAUGAACGCCGUUCUCAUGGACUGGUAACGUUAGAGCAUUUGGCAGUACGUCCAACCAGCCUCACAACUGCAGACCACGUGUAAGCCAACCCAGGACCUCUGCAUCUGGCUUCUUCACCUGAGGGAUUGUCUGAGACCAGCCACCAAACAAGCUGAUGAAACUGAGGAUUAUUUCUGUCUGUAAUAAAGCCCUUUUGUGGGGAAAAACUGAUUCUGAUUGGCAGGGCCUGCCUCCAGGGGUGGGUGGGCAUAUGCCUUCCCAGUCAUGUGAAAUCCAUAGAUUAGGGUUUAAUGAAUUUAUUUCAAAUGACUGAUUUCAUUAUAUGAACUGUAACUCAGUAAAAUUGUUGCAUGUUGCAUUCAUAUUUUUGUUCAGUAUAGUUACACUACCGGUCAAAGUUUUAGAACACUUACUCAGUGAAGGGUUUUAAUUUAUUUUUACUAUUUUCAACAUUGUAGAAAUACAUCAAAACUAUGAAAUAAUGUAAACAAAAAAGUGUUAAACAAAUCAAAAUAUAUUUUAUAUUUGAGAUUCUUUAAAUAGCCACUCUUUGCACACUCUUGGAAUUCUCUCAACCAGCUUCACCUGGAAUGCUUUUCCAACAGUCUUGAAUGAGUUCCCACAUAUGUUAAGCACUUGCUGGCUGCUUUUCCUUCACUCUGCGGUCUGACUCAUCCCAAACCAAUUCUCAAUUUGGUUAAUGUCGGGGGAUUGUGGAGGCCAGGUCCUCUGACGCAGCACUCCAUCACUCUACUUCUUGGUCAAAUAGCCCUUACAGAGCCUGGGCUAUUGGGUCAUUGUCCUGUUGAAAAACAAAUGAUAGUCCCACUAAGCCCAAACCAGAUGGGAUGGUGUAUCACUGCAGAAUGCUAUGUUAGCCAUGCUGGUCAAGUGUGCCUUGAAUUCAAAAUAAAUCACAGACAGUGUCACCAGCAAAGCACACCCACAACAUAACACCACCUCCAUGCUUUACGGUGGGAAAUAAACAUGCAGAGAUCAUCCGUUCUCAGAAUGACACUGCGGUUGGAACCAAAAAUCUCCAAUUUGGUUCUCCAGAAUUCCACCGGUCUAAUGUCCAUUGCUUGUGUUUCUUGACCCAAGCAAGUCUCUUCUUACUAUUGGUGUCCUUUAGUAGUGGUUUCUUUGCAGCAAUUCGAACAUGAAGGCCUGAUUCACAUAGUCUCCUCUGAACAGUUGAUGUUGAGAUGUGUCUGUUACUUGAACUCUGAAGCAUUUAUUUGGGCUGCAAUUUCUGAGGCUGGUAACUCCAAUGAACUUAUCCUCUGCAGCAGAAGUAACUCUGGGUCUUCCUUUCCUGUGGUGGUCCUCUUGAGAGCCAGUUUCAUCAUAGCGCUUGAUGGUUUUUGCGACUGCACUUUUCUGUAUUGACUGAUCAUGUCUUAAAGUAAUGAUGGACUGUCUUUUCUUAUUUGAGCUGUUCUCGCCAUAAUGUGGACUUGGUCUUUUACCAAAUAGGGUUAUCUUCUGUAUACCACCCCUACCAUGUCACAAACCAGCACAGGUGUAAUACAUAAUGACUAACAAGGUGACACCAAUCGAUGCACUUCACGUGCUAAUGUGCUUAUGUCUAACCUCAAAAUAUAAAUGAAAAACGAAAAACAAAGCCUGUAACACCUUCCCCCUUAAGACAACAAAUAUAUCCUAUAAAUUCGUUUUUCAAAACUAACAGAAAAUAACUUCCAUCUCACAACAUGAUCAACUUAAAUGUGUUGCUUUCUCCAAUAUGAACAUGCUGUCUACUGGCUGUCAACAAUUAAAUGCCAGACAGAACAGUCACCUUUUUAGUCACUUGUUUGGCAAAAACCAAUAUAUAUAUAUUUUUAUAUAUUGUUGGACUGUGGGCCAUCAAGUCAUAGGAUGGUACAUUAGAAUGACAAAUGUUACUGUACACUGGUUACAGCACAACACCACAUCUUAUGUAUGUAAAGGACUGUUGUGACACUGACUUAUUUGGUGGUAAUGUCUUACCCCCCCCCCCAUUUAUCUGUUGUCAACAGAAGAUUGAUGGUUGAAUUCCUAAACAGUGCAUAUGUUUUCACUUUCAUUUACUCAUAGUCCAUGCAUAUUCUGUUAUCAAAGUUGAUUUGAUUUUGUUUAUACAGAAUACAGUGUGGUGUAUACGGGAAUAUUACAUUGCAUUGUACCGUGUACUAUUGAAGUAACAAAUUGUUUGGGCUACUUGCUGCAUGUCAAUGUAAAUAGUCCGGGUGGCCAUUUUGAUUAAUUGUUCAUCAGUCUUACGAACACACUAAAGUGAGCAGCUAACGUAGUUAGCAGGCUAAAUAUGCAACCCAACACUUACCUAAUGUUUCUAGUCCAUGAGAAGGGUGGCCAUUUCUGGCUUCACUCUUCUACCUUUUCGAAAUACAUUUUAAAUUUUUUAACUUUUUCUCUUUUUGGGUCAAGUUGAUUCAAGAGCUGAGAAUGGUGCUUGUUGGCUUCGUCUUCUCUGUUUGUUUCAGGCAGCUGUAACAUAAGGUUGCAAGUGACUUUCACCUCCUCUCCAGCUCUGGGGCAGCAUGAUCAUUCAAGUAGGUGGGAUUAGCGCAAAGAUACACCUAUCCCAGAAGGCCAGCUCAGGGCUCAAUUCCCUUGUUUGCAAUUCCCUUGUUUUCGAAUACCCUACACAUAGGGUCACCCACAAGCUGCGGAUUCCUGCUUUAAUGAGCUCUGCAUAGGACAAAGGACUCAGUUACUUUUCUUGAGCAAUAUAAGUAAUGUUCAAUAAUAUAAUGUCUGUCUUGGAACACUGCACUAGUCUAGGAACAACUGUUGUCCUGUCACUAUUGUCUUCAUCAUUGUUGCUUGAGGUUGAUGCUAUUUUGGUCUGAUGCAAAAUAUAAUUACUAUUCUCUACAGUAGCAGAAGUACAAGCCUGAAGGUCAGCCAUUUGUUUCCUAAUGUUUUUUCCCUGGUGCAGUGAAUAUUGCUGGUAAACAUGCAUUUCCUGUGUUUUUUUUUGCAGACUGCACUUAUCUGCGAGUGUGCUGAUACUGGUGCUUUCCUCAACCCCACUGCAGAUUGUCAGGAAGGACUCAAAUCGGGCUUAAAGAGUGCCUGCUUUGUGUUCUGCAAAAAGGACGGCCAAACCUAAUUUAAUUAGAGGAUGAAAAAUAUACGUGGAGAAUUUUAGGGAGCUCAUUGCUCCUGGGGCUUAGCAACCGGCCUCAUUAUGAGCUCUUCACGAGGAGCCCAAGGACCAAAGGGAGAGCACAGUAGUCCUUCAUGUACGGGUCCCAAAUCACUCAACCAAAAAGGAAGCAUGGGUGAAUCACCAAGCUUUGCAGAUCAGUAUACUGACGCAGGCUGAUAUGUGAGGUGUAUUAAUAGGUCCCUUUCCCAUUCUUUAUAUUCUGGCUCGGGGGGGGGCAACAAAGAGUAUAACAGUUAACAACCCCAUAGGGUUGUGCCUUCUACAGGGGCUUCACGACCUGGCUUGGGUAUUAUGUCAACCGCUCAUUGUGCAAUCCUCCACGUGAAUAUACCAGAGGCGAACUCCUUUGUUUUUCAACAGCAGCCAGCAGCAGUAGCCUCUUUCUCCUCCUCAGCUAGGGUUAUCACAACUAGUGCCAAUGGGUGCAGUUUCUAACAUCUGCUAUGGGAAACAAGCCCGGGCCCUAUUGCCGGAACAAUGCAGCCCCGUCAAAGUGAAUCAUGAGAGGGUUGUCUCCGUGGCGUUGCCUCCGUCGGGCCGAGGAGGUGAUGUGCCCGAGGGCAAGGCAAAGCCCCAACAGACUCAGCGGCUUUCUCAUCUGCCGUGUUGGCAUGCGCCCUCUGACAGGUUUGGCGAGACCCCUCAUGGUGUCAAAUCAAUACCGAUAGACGAGUGGCACACCUGGCCACCAAACAGAUUGGAAAGCGCCGGGAGGCGGGAGAAAAGAGACGCAGUCAGACAAGAGAGAGCCUUGAACUCUCCUUCAAUUUCUCUUUCCCCUCCCCAUUCAUUCUCUCGUUUCUCCCUAUCAACCUUGUUGGCAAACUCCACGCUCCUCUUUUACUCCACAUUCCCCAUUAGAUGUUGUCGUUUUUGAAGUGGAGAGCGGCGUCGGCGUCAACCGCUCGUUAUUUUGCUUCUAUUGUCAGCGAGAUAUGUUGGUGCUCUUUCGAGAGAAGUAGCUUUUUAGACAAAAUUACAUACAAGGUCACAAGCGCUGUUGAGACUUCAAGGAUCACUUUAAUGGGUGAAACGCCAGAAAUGAGACAAACGGAAUGUAUAAAAUAAGAGAUUCUUGGGAAGAUAUAAGAUGAUUCAAGAUAGAUGUACAGAAGGAAAUGCUGUAUAUUAUAAAUAGUAACCCAACUGUGGCAGUCUCCAUCCCCGUUAAUCCUUUCAGAUCUCACACGGUACUAACACUCCUCUGACUCACACAUCGUAGAAUCUGAGUGUAUUUUUAGUUGAGUUUAUAGAUUGUUUUGCACAUAGUUUAAACUUUGAACUGCAAGAUGUAAUUUCCAUACAAAUAAAUUCACAGGAAAUACAUAUUGGAUAUCAUCAUGUCCCAGAUCCGUACCUUUCACACUUCAAAUGAGCCUCAAGCUAAUUAAGUGACUAGCUUCAAAAGUAUGAAUAAAUUAACUAUCUAAUCAUCUGCAGUAGCAUCUCAUCUGUGUCUCUCUUGUUGGGUGUCGGUUCUCAUCAGAGAAAUAUUUGAAUGAAUAUUAAAUAUUGGAGCUCAUACACACCACUGAGAAGGAAUUGAAAAUAUUGUCAGGAAAAUACAAGUAAUUGGUAGGAACGAGUCACAUUUACUUUAAAGACGCGUCAUUAUGUCUCCAUUAGAAUGUAAAUGGAUAUGUUGAUUUGAUUUGUAUCUUUUUCUUACAGAUGACCAAUAAUAAACAGGUGAUUCUGUC